CCUUCACACAUGAGGACACUGUGCCUGAGGAGUCUGAGGAUGAGGAUGAGGUCGAGGAGGGGCAGUUGCAGCCCCCGGAGGUGAGGGCGGGACCUCGAGCCCAGGGAUGUUGGGCCAGGAAGGAUGGAAAGGGACCAGUUUCAUGCCACAGAGGCCAGACUCGACCCGCAGGUCUCAGAACUCUGGGGGCUCUGAUUCAGCCAAGAUCCUUCCAGAUCACCAAAGGACCAGAAAUCAAGCCAGCUCAGCUCAGAGCCAGAGAGAUGGAUUUUUAAACUUAAUAAAGAUCAGGCUCUUAAGAACU
rnacentral:lncRNA from 1 species